GACCUCAAAUCAGGUAGGGCUACCCGCUGAACUUAAGCAUAUCAAUAAGCGGAGGAAAAGAAACUAACAAGGAUUCCCCUAGUAACGGCGAGCGAACCGGGAUGAGCUCAAAUUUGAAAUCUGGCGCCCUCCGGACGUCCGAGUUGUAAUCUAUAGAAGCGUUUUCCGUGCCGGACCGUGUCCAAGUCCCUUGGAACAGGGUAUCAAAGAGGGUGACAAUCCCGUACUUGACACGACGACCGGCGCUCUGUGAUACGUUCUCUACGAGUCGAGUUGUUUGGGAAUGCAGCUCAAAACGGGUGGUAAAUUCCAUCUAAAGCUAAAUAUUGGCGAGAGACCGAUAGCGAACAAGUACCGUGAGGGAAAGAUGAAAAGCACUUUGGAA
rnacentral:rRNA from 1 species